AAUUCCAUGGCAGUGUUGAAGAUCACUGGAGUCAACAUGGUACAGAUCCUGGAAGAAUCACAGAACUCGGAUCCUCUCCCCAGCUUCAUCUUUCUGGAAUCCAUUUUUCUUUUUAAUUUUCAAAACGGAGAGUCUGAAAAUGAGCUUUUGCGAGGAUGCUCCAACUCCAUAAUUCCAUGAUUCUAUAGUGUAGUAGUUAGGGUCACUCUAGUACCACAAAUUCAUUAUUAAAUAGGCCAAAAACCAUGUAACAGCCCCUCCUGUCCCCGUUCACAAAUGGUGUAGACAGCUGGGUUGCCUUUUUUCAGAGAGCAAGAUUCUGAUUCAAUUAUCUAUGCUGUGUUGUAACAGAGAAGGUUUGUACUCUAUUACAACCUAAUCACUAAAGGGAUGGCCCACUUCUGGGAACGCUGCCUCUCAAGUAAUGAGCAUUAAGUUCAAAUACCUUUGUUUAUCUCGUAGGAAACAGCCUAACCAGGCCCACCUGUGAAUGACUGCCGGAAACAGGAAAUGUUUGACGUUACGCCCGCCCCUUUCAGUAUAAAAGAAGCCUGACCCCCGCCCUCGGGCAAGAUGGUUUGUUGGGGGAAGUGUUCUACAUGUGCGUGGUUUGCUGGCUUUCUGAAUAAAGUCACUAUUUCUUGCCCCAACAACUCACCUCUGGAUUUCCUGGACUGUUGUGUGGCGAGCAGCACAGCAUAGACUUGAUUAAAAAAAAAAAAAAAAAUUGGUGCAGCCAGCCAGGAGGUUUGUUACUCUCCUCGUGGUCCGCCAGGCCCGGUUGGGGAAUUUUCGGGGAAGCUCCUAGCAGCUGCCGGGACCACUUGUCCUGAGGAUCUUCUCUUCAAAAUUCCCCACUGCAGCACUGGUUGCCCCAGCGCUUGGCAUUUGGAGCAAGGCAUCAACAUUUGGGAGCCGGCGGACUCCGUGCAGAAGGUCCUAGAAACACUAUCAACAUGGGAAGCGCCAAGUAUGGUCAAGAUGUGCUAUUCCUCUGGUGUGUUUGUGCUUCUAAAGGGCUACAACGGAGGUGGACGCUAAGGUACAUGACCUAACACCCAAUCGCAAGCCCAGUCAGGAAGCCACCUGGGAAGUGACCGUGGCCUGCACAGAGAACAUGAGCGGAUCAGCUGUUUUCAAAGAGAAUAGAGUGUGACUUGAGUUGAAAAGAUGAAUGAGGUUCAAACUAAAAAAAAAAAAAAAAGAAAAAAAAGGAAAG